rnacentral:rRNA from 1 species
GAUAAGGUUAAGUGAAUAAGGGCGCACGGUGGAUGCCUUGGCACUAGGAGCCGAUGAAGGACGGGACUAACACCGAUAUGCUUUGGGGAGCUGUAAGUAAGCUAUGAUCCAGAGAUUUCCGAAUGGGGGAACCCAAUAUCUUUUAUAGGAUAUUACUUUUCAGUGAAUACAUAGCUGAUUAGAGGUAGACGCAGAGAACUGAAACAUCUUAGUACCUGCAGGAAGAGAAAGAAAAUUCGAUUCCCUGAGUAGCGGCGAGCGAAACGGGAAGAGCCCAAACCAACAAGCUUGCUUGUUGGGGUUGUAGGACUCCAAUAUGGUAGUCUGUUAGUAUAGUUGAAGGAUUUGGAAAAUUCCGCUAAAGAGGGUGAAAGCCCCGUAGACGAAAUGCUAACAACACCUAGGAGGAUCCUGAGUACGGCGGAACACGAGAAAUUCCGUCGGAAUCCGCGGGGACCAUCCCGCAAGGCUAAAUACUCCCUAGUGACCGAUAGUGAACCAGUA